GAUGAACGCUGGCGGCGUGCCUAAUACAUGCAAGUCGAACGAAACUUCUUUAUCACCGAGUGCUUGCACUCACCGAUAAAGAGUUGAGUGGCGAACGGGUGAGUAACACGUGGGCAACCUGCCCAUAAGAGGGGGAUAACACUUGGAAACAGGUGCUAAUACCGCAUAACCAUAGUUACCGCAUGGUAACUAUGUAAAAGGUGGCUAUACUACCGCUUUUGGAUGGGCCCGCGGCGCAUUAGCUAGUUGGUAGGGUAAAGGCUUACCAAGGCAAUGAUGCGUAGCCGAAUUGAGAGGUUGAUCGGCCACAUUGGGACUGAGACACGGCCCAAACUCCUACGGGAGGCAGCAGUAGGGAAUCUUCCACAAUGGGCGAAAGCCUGAUGGAGCAACGCCGCGUGGGUGAAGAAGGUCUUCGGAUCGUAAAACCCUGUUGUUAGAGAAGAAAGUGCAUGAGAGUAACUGUUCACGUUUCGACGGUAUCUAACCAGAAAGCCACGGCUAACUACGUG
rnacentral:rRNA from 1 species